GCGUGCAUGAGACAUGCAAGUCGAACGGACACUUGGGGCUUGCUCCAAGUGUUAGUGGCGGACGGCUGAGUAACGCGUAGGUGACCUGUCCCGAAGUGGGGAAUAACUGCCUGAAAGGGUGGCUAAUACCGCAUGUGGUGGUGUGUUCAUUCACACCAGUAAAGCCGCAAGGCGCUUCGGGAGGGGCCUGCGUCCGAUUAGCUCGUUGGUGGGGUAACGGCUCACCAAGGCGACGAUCGGUAGGUGGUCUGAGAGGACGAUCACCCAGACUGGGACUGAGACACGGCCAGACUCCUACGGGAGGCAGCAGUCGGGAAUUUUGCGCAAUGGACGAAAGUCUGACGCAGCAACGCCGCGUGAGGGAUGAAAGCCUUCGGGUUGUAAACCUCUUUUAUCAGGGAAGAUAAUGACGGUACCUGAUGAAUAAGUUACGGUUACUACGUGCCAGCAGCCCGCGGUAAUACGUAGGUGACAAGCGUUGUCCGAAUUACUGGGCGUAAAG
rnacentral:rRNA from 1 species